rnacentral:rRNA from 1 species
ACGCUCGACACCUACGGGAGGCAGCAGUGGGGAAUAUUGGGCAAUGGGCGCAAGCCUGACCCAGCAACGCCGCGUGAAGGAAGAAGGCCCUCGGGUUGUAAACUUCUUUUGACAGGGACGAAGAAAAUGACGGUACCUGUCGAAUAAGCCGCGGCUAACUACGUGCCAGCAGCCGCGGUAAUCUGAGCGGGCUGGCAAGGC